rnacentral:piRNA from 1 species
CUAGAUAGAGCCUCUCCAUGAAAGUGAUUU